rnacentral:rRNA from 2 species
GUGCAUAAUACAUGCAAGUCGAACGAACUCUGGUAUUGAUUGGUGCUUGCAUCAUGAUUUACAUUUGAGUGAGUGGCGAACUGGUGAGUAACACGUGGGAAACCUGCCCAGAAGCGGGGGAUAACACCUGGAAACAGAUGCUAAUACCGCAUAACAACUUGGACCGCAUGGUCCGAGUUUGAAAGAUGGCUUCGGCUAUCACUUUUGGAUGGUCCCGCGGCGUAUUAGCUAGAUGGUGGGGUAACGGCUCACCAUGGCAAUGAUACGUAGCCGACCUGAGAGGGUAAUCGGCCACAUUGGGACUGAGACACGGCCCAAACUCCUACGGGAGGCAGCAGUAGGGAAUCUUCCACAAUGGACGAAAGUCUGAUGGAGCAACGCCGCGUGAGUGAAGAAGGGUUUCGGCUCGUAAAACUCUGUUGUUGAAGAAGAACAUAUCUGAGAGUAACUGUUCAGGUAUUGACGGUAUUUAACCAGAAAGCCACGGCUAACUACGUGCCAGCAGCCGCGGUAAUACGUAGGUGGCAAGCGUUGUCCGGAUUUAUUGGGCGUAAAGCGAGCGCAGGCGGUUUUUUAAGUCUGAUGUGAAAGCCUUCGGCUCAACCGAAGAAGUGCAUCGGAAACUGGGAAACUUGAGUGCAGAAGAGGACAGUGGAACUCCAUGUGUAGCGGUGAAAUGCGUAGAUAUAUGGAAGAACACCAGUGGCGAAGGCGGCUGUCUGGUCUGUAACUGACGCUGAGGCUCGAAAGUAUGGGUAGCAAACAGGAUUAGAUACCCUGGUAGUCCAUACCGUAAACGAUGAAUGCUAAGUGUUGGAGGGUUUCCGCCCUUCAGUGCUGCAGCUAACGCAUUAAGCAUUCCGCCUGGGGAGUACGGCCGCAAGGCUGAAACUCAAAGGAAUUGACGGGGGCCCGCACAAGCGGUGGAGCAUGUGGUUUAAUUCGAAGCUACGCGAAGAACCUUACCAGGUCUUGACAUACUAUGCAAAUCUAAGAGAUUAGACGUUCCCUUCGGGGACAUGGAUACAGGUGGUGCAUGGUUGUCGUCAGCUCGUGUCGUGAGAUGUUGGGUUAAGUCCCGCAACGAGCGCAACCCUUAUUAUCAGUUGCCAGCAUUAAGUUGGGCACUCUGGUGAGACUGCCGGUGACAAACCGGAGGAAGGUGGGGAUGACGUCAAAUCAUCAUGCCCCUUAUGACCUGGGCUACACACGUGCUACAAUGGAUGGUACAACGAGUUGCGAACUCGCGAGAGUAAGCUAAUCUCUUAAAGCCAUUCUCAGUUCGGAUUGUAGGCUGCAACUCGCCUACAUGAAGUCGGAAUCGCUAGUAAUCGCGGAUCAGCAUGCCGCGGUGAAUACGUUCCCGGGCCUUGUACACACCGCCCGUCACACCAUGAGAGUUUGUAACACCCAAAGUCGGUGGGGUAACCUUUUAGGAACCAGCC